CGAGCUCGCGUCGCAGCACGGCUGCCGCGGGGUUCUGGGUUUCUGAAUCCCGCUCGCUAUCGGGAAAAGCGCCUCAGAGUUGGGAGGGACGUGGGAGGGGAUGACCCGCGUCCGGCUGCGGGGAGCGGGACGGCGGCUUGGACAAGGUCAGCCCCGAGGCCCAAGAGGAUUUGGUCCCAAGCAGUUCGUCGCGCCCUGCGGCGCACAGCCCACGAGGACUUGCAAAGAGAAAUGCAGGAGACGCAGCCGCCGGAGCGAAGGAGGGUGCCCUGCCAUCAACGAGCAGUAAUACGGUGUGGUGACUCAAAAGCGCUCCGGAGUCCAGGAGGCGAGGGCGUGAGAAAGUGAUAAAACCGUCCUUGGGAUACCAGAGUGCCGGGCAGUGUCUUCUUUCCUCUAAGUUUCUAGAUGGAGGACUUUGGUCCAUCCUGUCCUUCUGCAUCUUCCUUAAAAGUGACAGGUACAGUCUGAAUUCCUAGGGGGAAACCACAGCCUGUGAUGGAGUAGGCCCAGGCCAAAGGGAAGGCGUUUUUCAAACCUUCUUUGGUUUUCAAAUCUUGGCUCAAAGUGAAAUCGCAAAUAAACCAAAAUAGAACCCAA